GACGAACGCUGGCGGCGUGCUUAACACAUGCAAGUCGAGCGGUAAGGCCCUUUCGGGGGUACACGAGCGGCGAACGGGUGAGUAACACGUGGGUGACCUGCCCUCAGCUCUGGGAUAAGCCUGGGAAACCGGGUCUAAUACUGGAUAUGACUCCAUGACGCAUGUUGUGGGGUGGAAAGCCUUGUGCGGCUGAGGAUGGGCCCGCGGCCUAUCAGCUUGUUGGUGGGGUGAUGGCCUACCAAGGCGACGACGGGUAGCCGGCCUGAGAGGCGACCGGCCACACUGGGACUGAGACACGGCCCAGACUCCUACGGGAGGCAGCAGUGGGGAAUCUUGCGCAAGUGGGCGAAAGCCUGACGCAGCGACGCCGCGUGAGGGAUGACGGCCUGG
rnacentral:rRNA from 1 species